AACGAACGCUGGCGGCAUGCCUAACACAUGCAAGUCGAACGAGACCUUCGGGCCUAGUGGCGCACGGGUGCGUAACGCGUGGGAACCUGCCCUUAGGUUCGGAAUAACUCCCCGAAAGGGGUGCUAAUACCGGAUAAUGUCUUCCGACCAAAGAUUUAUCGCCUUUGGAUGGGCCCGCGUUGGAUUAGCUAGUUGGUAGGGUAAAACCCUACCAAGGCGACGUUCCAUAGCUGGUCUGAGAGGAUGAUCAGCGACACUGGGACUGAGACACGGCCCAGAAUCCUACGGGAGGCAGCAGUGGGGAAUAUUGGACAGUGGGGGAAAGCCUGAUCCAGCAAUGACGCGUGAGUGAUGAAGGCCGUAGGGUUGUAAAGCUAUUUUACCCGGGAUGAUAAUGACAGUACCGGGAGAAUAAGCUCCGGCUAACUCCGUG
rnacentral:rRNA from 1 species